GAUGAACGCUGGCGGCGUGCCUAAUACAUGCAAGUCGAGCGAACAGAUAAGGAGCUUGCUCCUUUGACGUUAGCGGCGGACGGGUGAGUUACACGUGGAUAACCUACCUAUAAGACUGGGAUAACUUCGGGAAACCGGAGCUAAUACCGGAUAACAUAUUGAACCGCAUGGUUCAAUAGUGAAAGGCGGCUUUGCUGUCACUUAUAGAUGGAUCCGCGCCGUAUUAGCUAGUUGGUAAGGUAACGGCUUACCAAGGCAACGAUACGUAGCCGACCUGAGAGGGUGAUCGGCCACACUGGAACUGAGACACGGUCCAGACUCCUACGGGAGGCAGCAGUAGGGAAUCUUCCGCAAUGGGCGAAAGCCUGACGGAGCAACGCCGCGUGAGUGAUGAAGGUCUUCGGAUCGUAAAACUCUGUUAUCAGGGAAGAACAAAUGUGUAAGUAACUGUGCACAUCUUGACGGUACCUGAUCAGAAAGCCACGGCUAACUACGUA
rnacentral:rRNA from 1 species